AGUGAACGCUGGCGGCAGGCCUAAUACAUGCAAGUCGAACGGCAGCACAGCAGAGCUUGCUCUGUGGGUGGCGAGUGGCGGACGGGUGAGGAAUACGUGGGAAUCUGCCCAGUCGUGGGGGAUAACGUAGGGAAACUUACGCUAAUACCGCAUGCGCCCUUCGGGGGAAAGCCGGGGACCUUCGGGCCUGGCGCGAUUGGAUGAGCCCACGUCGGAUUAGCUAGUUGGCGGGUAAAGGCCCACCAAGGCGACGACCCGUAGCUGGUCUGAGAGGAUGAUCAGCCACACUGGAACUGAGACACGGUCCAGACUCCUACGGGAGGCAGCAGUAGGGAAUAUUGGACAAUGGGCGCAAGCCUGAUCCAGCCAUGCCGCGUGAGUGAAGAAGGCCCUCGGGUUGUAAAGCUCUUUUGUCCGGAAAGAAAAGCGCCGGGUUAAUACCCUGGUGUCCUGACGGUACCGGAAGAAUAAGCACCGGCUAACUUCGUGCCAGCAGCCGCGGUAAU
rnacentral:rRNA from 1 species